UACGGGGGGGGCAAGCGUUGUUCGGAAUUACUGGGCGUAAAGGGCUCGUAGGCGGCCAACUAAGUCGGAUGUGAAAUCCCCAGGCUUAACCUGAGAACUGCAUCCGAUACUGGAUGGCUUGAAUUCGGGAGAGGGAUGCAGAAUUCCAGGUGUAGCGGUGAAAUGCGUAGAUAUCUGGAGGAAUACCGGUGGCGAAGGCGGCAUCCUGGACCGAGAUUGACGCUGAUGAGCGAAAGCUAGGGGAGCAAACGGG
rnacentral:rRNA from 1 species